UGCCAGCAGCCGCGGUAACACGGGGGGCGCAAGCGUUAUUCGGAAUUAUUGGGCGUAAAGGGCGCGCAGGCGGUCUUGUCCGUCAGGUGUGAAAGCUCGGGGCUCAGCCCCGGAAGUGCACUUGAAACAGCAAGACUUGAAUACGGUAGAGGAGAGAGGAAUUCCGAGUGUAGGGGUGAAAUCCGUAGAUAUUCGGAGGAACACCAGUGGCGAAGGCAUCUCUCUGGGCCGAUAUUGACGCUGAGGCGCGAAGGCGUGGGUAGCGAACGGGAUUAGAUA
rnacentral:rRNA from 1 species